AAAAAAAAAGGGUUAUGUAUACUUGUACUUGAACUUGUGAAGUAAUCCCACUCCAAGAAUCAGAAAUCAUGUUUUACACAAAGUUCACCUCUGAUUGCUUUCAGUGAAUAUAGAUAAAAAUAUAAUGCUGAUUCUCCUAAACUCAACAACAUAAAUACACUCUGGUUUGCACUGUAAUAGAAUAUGAAAUUUUGAAGUGUAUAUGUUUUCAAAGUAGAGAAGGCAAAAUGAUGGAAAUGUUUGAGAUCUUAACAUGUUAGUAUUGAAUUUCAUUCUUUAUCUGUAUAUGCAUCCACAAUAUGGAUUAAAACUCUAUGAUACAAAAUUUUUUGGCCAGCUCAUGGAAGCAAUGCCACUA
rnacentral:misc_RNA from 1 species